rnacentral:lncRNA from 1 species
GUCGUUUCUCCAGCAUCUUCUUGCUGUUUGUCAUCUGUCCUGUGUCUGUCCGCUGGCCGUUUGUCUUAUGUUUAAUCUGUCUGAGUGUUGUGUGCGGGCCCUUUUCUUGUUCCCAUAACCGCUCUUCUUUCAUCAGGACUCCUUCGCUCCACCGACAUCAGAGACAAGGAAGCGCUACAGAGAUCUCUACCUGGACCCCUUUAACUUGCUUUCUUAACAAUUCUCAGGACUUUGUCUGUUGGUUUGUUUUUGUUUGUUUCCUUUGCGUUCUGUGUUAAUUUCUACCUCAGUUUGUUUCUAAUGGAAAAAAAUGGUUAAAACGGUUUUAACUGUGCUCACUACAGCUUGCAUUAAAAUGUAAAGUGCUGUCAACAGGACUAAAAGAAUUGUCAAAAGUAAAAGCUAAAGGUAAAAAGAAAAAGGCAUUCUAGAGAUUGCCUUCAUUUAGGAGCUGGGCCAGGUGGCCAACUGGGUAAAUCAUGUCACUUCCUAUAGAGGACAGAUUAAAACUAAAGUGUUUUAUAAAAUUAUCAUUCCUAUAUUGUAUAACAAAAAACAUAAUUUUGUCUAGGAAAUUGGGCUUUUGUCUCUCAGUAUUUACAAGCAUGAAUAACUCCCAACUAUUAAAAAAUGGUCUAAAGAUUUUUCAAUGUCAGGCUAAAAGUUGGUGGCCGCUAUCCAAGAAACCAGAAAAACCAGUUUAGAAUGGAACCCCAACCUGGGGGACUCUCCCAAGGAGACCAAUGAAGCUGCGUCUUUGGGAAGUUCCUCCGGGGAAAAAUAAGCCCCCUUCGUUUGUCUAUGUUCCCUUGACUCUUUUCAGCUUUCAUGAACAGGACCACCUCAGGAAAAAGGUCAGAAAACUUUUAAAAUUCUAUAUUUGUUAAACUCAUAGUUUUGAUCCAAUAUGCCUAGGUUAAUAUGUUUUUCUGAUGACACUCUGCUUUAUUCUGAGGCCAAUUUACAAGGGUUAACUCUCAAUCUAAUAAGUUUUAAAAAAUAAGCUACAAGGCUUUUGUUUGUCUGUUUGCUUUGUGUGGGUGCACCAGUGUACUGUCUGUCUAUAUGUAUUGCCAUGUCUACACGUAUUUGAUACAAAAAAAUUGACAUAUGAGCUCAUAAAUUAAAAUUUUAAAAAUGGAUCCAAAUACUUUUGGUUAAUAUGAUUUAAAAGGUUCAAUUCAAAUUGAGAAAAUAGAUAAAAGUACAAAUGUCUUUAAAGUUACUAAUGCACAGUUUUGUUUCUAGAUGGUUAAACGGCUGUUAAAAUGUUAAUGUCUAUAAUGUGUCUGAUAUCCAUUGUCUCUAGGAUUUUUAUUCAACAACAACAACAAAAAGAUUACUAAUACUAUUCAAUACACUUGUGUGAUACCUUGUUUUUAAAAAAAGAUGUAAAUUUCAUCUAAACGUAUAUGAAAUUAAUCAUGGAUUUGUUUGUUAGAGACAUCUAAUUGGAUUACAAAGUUAAAAUGCUGACUGUUAAAUAUAAUAUCAAGUGCUUUUAACUCCUUAAAUUCCAUAAGGUAAAAUACUUAAACAAUGUUGGUGUUUUCAUAAUUGGUAAACUAAAAAGGAAAUUUGUAAUCAUUUUGUGUUAUUAUAAAAACAAGGUUACUCUAAAUUACAAAGUCCCAACAGAUAUAAUUCUACAUACAAGGAGUCAAGAGGUUUCAACUGUAUUUCAAUUAAAGUACUGUAAGUAACAAAUAUUUCAUCUUAUUAAAAUAGAUCAAUUUAUCUAAAUUCAAAAAUUCAUAAGGGUUAUUUCAAGAUACAAACAAAAAAGGGUCAAUGGAUUAAAAAUUAUUAAAAAGUUCUAAAUAUAAAAAUAUAUUUAAUAAAAAACAUUUCCAGGUAAAAAGUCUUUAUGUGGUAAAGUAUAAUUAUAAUACAUCUAAGUAAACAACAAAUGGGUCUAAUUAAGUAAUAUAAAUGUCUAUAAAUAAAAGACAAAUAUUAAAAGGUUUAUAUGUAACUAAGUUGGUUAUAUAUGUAACACAAAUAGUUAAAACUAUUCAAGGUUGUUCCCCAAGGACAAAUAAUAAUGUACUGAUAUAUGUUUAUAUGUUAAAAUGACAAGAACUUCUAAAAAUAUUAAUUACAUUAUGUCUGUUAAGUUUUAUCCCCUAGAACAAGUAAUCUUGGAGAAAUUAAGGUUUGUACAUCUGUGGCUAAACAACAACUGUUAUUUUAAAGUAUUGUCCUACAUUACAAAUUUCUAGAUUUUCCUUUAAAAGCUAACCUUGGUUAAUAUAAAAGCAUCAAUAAAAGUGUGGUACAUUACUCUUCUUUACAGAUUAAAUGUGUUCAUAUCUUUCAGGUUCACAAGUCUUUAAGGUAAAAGGUUUAAAGAAACAUUUUAUCAAGCGAGUAUUCUCC